AAAUAGAGGAAAAAGGCAAACCUAAUCUUCCUGCACGAGGAGAAUAGCACGAAAUUUGGAGCCAGCGCUCGCUCGGGGCCCAGCGGGGCAGCAGGGACAUUCGACGCCACCUUCCUCUCGCUCCGGCAUGGGAUGCACGCUUUUUGAGGCUGCUCUCCUCUGCUCCGGGCUCAGUAUAGACUGAGCGCUUUUCCCUCCUCCCCAUGAACCACAAACCUCGCGGAUCCCAACAGUUUCCCGAGACACUGACCAUACAGUCACUGAGCCAGGGCUCGCGACCCUCAGCCUGGCACACCCGGCCCCAUUUCGGGGAAGCUUUAUUCUCCUGACGGCUCUGAGCUCCCGACAGGAAGCGCGGGGCGCUCAGGCCCCUGGAGAGGCCAGCUGGGGAACUUACAGCGGCGCAGAACCGCUGUCCCCGGCUGGGCAACCCUCACAGGUGUGCGCAACACACUGCGGCUGGCUCUGCGGGGAAAUGAAUCCUCAUGGAACAACCGGAGCACCCCAUUGCGACCCUGUGGGACGCCUCCAUACAACCAGCAGGCCGGGUGCUGGCCCCUGCAGCCACCUCGGAAGGAAAGAGGACAGCAGCGGGCGCACCUCUUGCGCACGCCCGACCUGAGAUGCCCAGGCCCAGAGUCGGUUCCCUUGACCCUCCCAUUCCCCAUGCCGGCGCUCAUGGUGGCAUCCCCUCUCCACCGCCCUGGCCAGGCUGCCCAGCUCCUUCAGGACACAGUCUUCAGGGAAGGGCUUCCUGCCAGCUGGAACAGUGGUGUGGCCGCCACAGGCUCUCCUCCACCCACCCUGCCCCCUACUCCAGGUUGCCCUCAGCAGGCGGGACUUGCUGGUUCCAGCUAGUUCACACAGGGGCACAGGGACCCUAUGCUGGUGUAUCCAGGGACCCUAUGCUGGUGUGCUGA
ensembl:lncRNA